AUCAACGCUGGCGGCGCGCUUAACACAUGCAAGUCGAGCGAGAAAGUGGAGCAAUCCAUGAGUACAGCGGCGUACGGGUGAGUAACACGUGGGUAAUCUACCUCUUAGUGGGGAAUAACCCUGGGAAACCGGGGCUAAUACCGCAUAAGCCUGGAAAGGGAAAGCCCCUAUUGUAAAAGAUGGGGGCGCUGGGAGAGGAGCCCGCGGCCGAUUAGCUAGUUGGUGAGGUAAAGGCUCACCAAGGCGGUGAUCGGUAGCCGGCCUGAGAGGGCACACGGCCACACUGGCACUGAAACACGGGCCAGACUCCUACGGGAGGCAGCAGUGGGGAAUCUUGCACAAUGGAGGCAACUCUGAUGCAGCGACGCCGCGUGAGCGAUGAAGCCCUUCGGGGUGUAAAGCUCUUUCGGCAGGGACGAUGAUGACGGUACCUGAAGAAGAAGCUGCGGCUAACUACGUGCCAGCAGCCGCGGUAAUACGUAGGCAGCGAGCGUUGUUCGGAAUUACUGGGCGUAAAGAGUGUGUAGGCGGUGCUCUAAGUUCGGUGUGAAAUCUCCCGGCUUAACUGGGAGGGUGCGCCGGAAACUGGAGUGCCUGAGGGGAGAGGAAGGGAAUUCCUGGUGUAGCGGUGAAAUGCGUAGAUAUCAGGAGGAAUACCUGUGGCUGUAAGCGACGGCUCUGGACCAUGGCUGACGCUGAGGCACGAAAGCGUGGGUAGCAAACAGGAUUAGAUACCCUGGUAGUCCACGCCUGUAAACAAUGACACUAGGUGUCGGGGUAUCCAGCUGCCUCGGUGCCGGCCGCUAACGCAGUUAAGUAUGCCCGCCUGGGAAGUACGGCCGCAAGGUGAAAACUCAAAGGAAUUGACGGGGCCCGCACAAGCGGUGGAGCAUGUGGUUCAAUUCGAUGCAACGCGAAGAACCUUACCUGGGUUUGACAUCUGGCGAAGGGGCCUGAAAGGGUCUCGUGCCCGCAAGGGAGCGCCAAGACAGGUGCUGCAUGGCUGUCGUCAGCUCGUGCCGUGAGGUGUUGGGUUAAGUCCCGCAACGAGCGCAACCCCUGUCCGUAGUUGCCCCCGGGGAAAGCCGUGGCACUCUACGGAGACUGCCCGUGUUAAGCGGGAGGAAGGUGGGGACGACGUCAAGUCAUCAUGGCCUUUAUACCCAGGGCUACACACGUGCUACAAUGGCUGGUACAGCGCGUCGCCAACGCGUGAGCCGGAGCUAAUCGCCAAACGCCAGCCUCAGUUCGGAUCGCAGUCUGCAGCUCGACUGCGUGAAGCUGGAAUCGCUAGUAAUCGCGGAUCAGCAUGCCGCGGUGAAUACGUUCCCGGGCCUUGUACACACCGCCCGUCACACCAUGGAAGUCGGUUGUACCGGAAGUGAGUGUGCCAACCCUCACCGGAAGCAGCUCCCAGGGUACGACUGGUAACCGGGGUG
rnacentral:rRNA from 1 species